rnacentral:rRNA from 1 species
GAUGAACGCUGGCGGCGUGCCUAAUACAUGCCAGUCGAGCGAACAGACGAGGAGCUUGCUCCUCUAACGUUAGCGGCGGACGGGUGAGUAACACGUGGAUCACCUUCCUAUAUGACUGGGAUAACUUCGGGAAACAGGAGCUAAUACCGGAUCAUAUAUUGAACCGCAUGGUUCAAUAGUGAAAGACGGUUUUGCUGUCACUUAUAGAUGGAUCCGCGUCGCAUUAGCUAGUUGGUAAGGUAACGGCUUACCAAGGCAACGAUGCGUAGCCGACCUGAGAGGGUGAUCGGCCACACUGGAACUGAGACACGGUCCAGACUCCUACGGGAGGCAGCAGUGGGGAAUCUUCCGCAAUGGGCGAAAGCCUGACGGAGCAACGCCGCGUGAGUGAUGAAGGUCUUCGGAUCGUAAAACUCUGUUAUUGGGGAAGAACAAAUGUGUAAGUAACUAUGCACGUCUUGACGGUACCUAAUCAGAAAGCCACGGCUAACUACGUG